rnacentral:rRNA from 1 species
UACGGAGGGUGCAAGCGUUAGUCGGAUUUACUGGGCAUAAAGGGCGCGUAGGCGGGGGGAUAAGUCAUUUGUGAAAUCCCGGAGCUCAACUCCGGAACGGCAACUGAUACUGUCUCUCUCGAGGAUAGGCGGAGAAAACGGAAUUCCACGUGUAGCGGUGAAAUGCGUAGAUAUGUGGAAGAACACCCGUGGCGAAAGCGGUUUUCUAGCUUAUUCCUGACGCUGAGGCGCGAAAGCAAGGGGAGCAAACAGG